AUAAUAAUACAAGUAAUAAUAUCCAGAAGCGAUGUUUUAAUGUUACACGGCUUUAAUGCAUUGCUGUAUUGUACUGUACUAGAAGAAGUGCAUAUGGAAUAGACGCAAGAACAUCAUCUAAUUUUUUCUUAUUUAUUUAGAUACUCUAUCUAUCUUUUUAUUAUUUUGCCAUGCCAAGACUCUUUUUAACAUGCUGUCCACUUCACUGAGAUAAACAUAAAAACCUGAUUACACUGGAUACAAAGACACAGUCCAGAGGUCUCUGUUGGUACGAGAAGAGCUCCAAGAACGUCAAACCACAUGCUGUUGUAUGUUAUGCUGAGUAUGUUCCCUCUGACUCAGGAAAUCCAGUUCAAAGCACCAGCAGCCGGUCACGUGAGACGUCAUCAAAUAACCGAGAAUGUAAUAGCAAGACGCUUAAUACAGAAGAACACCUUCAUUAAGACAAACAAAAACUGCAAUAUGUUUAUGAUUAUAGCUGAAUUUCACAAAUAUAACUAACUCAUUUAUUUUAAGGGAUCAAUAAACAGCUCACACUUUUUAGUUUGAAUUACAAUUAGAAUUUUAAAAUAAACUGUCGACCAAAAGCAACAGCGGGGCUUCAUUAAUGCAGUGGCUCUCAAACCAGGGCACAUGAGACAGAAGAAGAAGAAGAAGAAGAAGAAGAAGAAGAAGAAGAAGCGGGUGAGGAAGAAGAAGACCGCAAUGAUCACUGAUGUAAUAACAUUUUCUGGAAAGAUUCAGGAAAGAUAAUCCUUCCUGUUCCAAGUUAAUAUUUCUCAGCUGAUCAUUUUUGGUAAAUCUGUAAAGCCACUCUUUAGAAAUCAAUAUUUGUAGAACAGAACAUUUGAAACAGGCAAGGAUCUAUUCACACAAAAUAACAUAAGUAAAAAAGUACACAAGUAAGGACGUGAUGGUCCAGCGGUCCAAGCUGCUGAGACAUCUACGUUGGGUCCUUGAGCAAGGCCCUUAACCUCACCUGCUCCAGGGGCGCCGCACGAUGGCUGACCCUGCGCUCUGACCCCAGGCUCAUAAUAGCCUGGGAUAUGUGAAAACCAAGGGCAGUCAUGGCCUAAUGGUUAGAAAGUUUGACUCCUAACCCUAAGGUUGGGGGUUCGAGUCUCGGGCCAGCCACGACUGAGGUGCCUUUGAGCAAAGCACUGAACCCCCUCCAACUGCUCCCCGGGCACCGCAGCUGCCCACUGCUCCGGGUGUGUGUUCACUGCUGUGUGUGUGCACUUUGGAUGGGUUAAAUGCAGAGAACAAAUUCAGAGUAUGGGUCACUGUACUUAGCCGUAUGUCACGUCACAAAAGGGGGGGGGGGACAAUUUAGGGAAACAGACAAUUAGUACUCUUGGUACAGAAACAGCAUUUUUCUAACCCAAUAAUAUGUAAAUCUGUAUGUAAGGGAGGUAAAUGAGGCAAAACACUGGGAAAUUUUUAGAUCAACCUGUAUUUCUGAAUUAGAAUUUUUUUUUAAUAAAGAAUCUUAUUUGACAAACGCAGAACAGAAUAUGACAAAAGUGUCAUGUAUUUACAAAAAAGCUGCGUUAUUGUUAGUGGUUUUUGAUCCUUUAAUAAUUCCCCAAGAAUAUGCAAUAUAUAAAGAUCCACUAUUUUCCCCAACUUUUUUGUUUGUUUUCUACAUCGAGGAUUAUAGAAAACACAUUUACCCCAUUCCCAACGCAGUGUCUGGCCAUCAGUAUGUGAUCUAAACCCCCACAAUGCUCUAAAGCUUUGGAAAAGUUGGACCCUUAAAGGGUUACGAAAAUUCCUACACAGUCAGGCCUCCCCUGGUCCACAGUCAAGCAAACAGUUCACACAUGGAAGAAAUCCAGCACUGUUUCUUCCUCCCAAAUGUCCUACAUAGAUCUGUAUACAUCAACAAAGAGUUCCUAAACAACUGACAGAGCACCAUGGGGCUACAGUUAGGGGUCUGUGUUGUAACUGAUUGAACCCAAAAACAAAAAAUAAAAAAUAAAAAAUAAAAAAUAAUUAAUAAUAAUUAAUAUUAAUAAUAAUAAUAAUAAUAAUAAUAAUAAUAAUAAUGUCAUGUUUAUGGAAGGUUACCACAACAGGAUACCACUGUUUUCUAAAAGAAAAACCUCCUAGAAAGCAAUGUGAUAAUGUUGUGUAGAGAGAUGACAAACGUUCAUACCUGUAUAUUCAAAUGCAACUAAUCAGCCAAUCGUGGAGCAUCAGCACAAAACAUAACAUCAUUCAGGGACAGGGACUUCAUGAGCAAGAAGGCAAUGAAUCAUCACUCUGUACAGUCAGGGCAAGCAGAAAAGUAUCUCAGAACAUAUCAAACCAUGAGGUGAUGGGAUACAAAACCGUAUCGAGGUUCAUUCCUGGAAAUCCAGACACAUGAAGAUCGGUAAAAGGAAAACUGGCCGACUUUGAUUAAUCUGUUCUUUGUCGUGAAUAUUAUUUGAAACUCUUGACCUGUAUCUGCAUAACGUUAUUGCAUUUGGGUUACAUGCAAAAGACAAACUUUUCAGUUCAGGAUGAAGUCCAAGUUUCACCACGUGAAGGAUUUUCUAUGACUAUAUACAUGUCUGAAGUAAACAAAACACUGCAUAGCAACACCAAAACCUAGUGAUGGGAGUAAAACCGUGUGUGUCUGCUCUUGAUUCUUUAAGAUCUAGAAGGCUUGCUUAACUGAGUCACCAAUAAACACUAAUAAAGUCAUAUCAGGAAACUCCACGGCAUCACUUCAGGGCAUCUGCCUACGAUCCAAGAGUUAUGCAGUGUGACAAUAAUCCUAAACACAUGUGUAAACACGAGUAGCUAUUUACUCAAACAGAAGAUAUUUUGGCCACUGACCUCAACGCUGUUGAUAAGCGAUAAAUGGAUCUGAGGCAGACCAUUCAAACAUUAUAUAAAAGAACAAAAACAAUUUUGUAAAGAUGUAAGCAUUAACAUGGCUGAAACACUAAUCAGAAACAAAAACUGGAAGGGUAUUGUCAAUAAAUCAGGUUCUGCUCAGUAGCAAAUGUUGACCGUUUAAAUCAUUGUUUUGAUAAAGAUGACAGAUGCUCUGAAAUAAAUCUGGAUCUCAGAUUACGAGCCAUUCACUCACAAAUCCAGAUAAAGCCAAAGGAUCUAUAAACUUUUUAUUCCCGCUAACAUAUUUAUGCGACUUCAUUACAAAGGCUAAUUUUACAUUAAGCAAAGAAACAUACAGGAAAAUAAAUAUGCAGCAUAACUGCUGUAAGCCCAGGCCACGGAUUCACCCCCGGAGUGACAGACUAAAUAAAGACGUGCAUUAGAAUGCAGUUCACAUGACGUGGUUCAAAAAUGUUCACCUUAAUUCCUACUGAAAGCUGAACAAGCCAGGCCUCGUCUUUGAGGAUUUGAAACGUUUAAUAGCUGAAUAGUAAACCAUCCACAAUGAAACCAGUUUAGUGAGGGUGUGUUUUCGUUCCUUCUUGCUGAAAUACUGUUGUAGGGAUGGAACUUAAAAAAAAUCAGUUAUUUAGAUUGAACACAAUGUGUUCUAAACGGAUACAUAUAGGCGGCAACAAGAAAGUUCAGAGGAAUGUUCACAUAGGGUCUGGUUAGAUUAGAGGUUGGAUUAGGGGAGUGCAACAGGACUGUGACAAACACUCACAAACACACAGCAAAAAAAAAAAAGUCACAAAAGUUAACGCCCUUCCAGUUUAGGCCACACCCACAGCUUGUUUCGAAUACAGAUAUGAAUAUUCGGAGCGCUAAAAAGAUCCAGAUCCAGAUCUGGCAUUGCAUUACACCACUAAAUUAUAUAUAACUAAGUGGUCCAGAAUAUAAAUGGUUAAGUAAAGAACAUCAGAAAAAGAUCAAAAGGCGGCAGGUGGUGUUCCAUUACCUACAGAAUGGCCGGAGAUCCUCAGGUGCCAAACAGCAGUAACAGAAGGAGCAGUGUUGCCUUACUGGCUCUUGUCAUCAGUGUAAUCCCCAACAGCUAUUUGUGACACUAAACACCUUGGAGUCGAACGUCGUAUUUCACAUGAUAGGUGUAAUUCAUGUAGAGUUAAGAGUUAUGGCCUGGGUCAUGUUAUAUUUAUUAAUUGAUCUGAAGUUCAAUUCAGUUCACCCCAUACAGGCAGGCGACAAAAAGCUGGCUCUGGUAUUUCACAUG